rnacentral:rRNA from 1 species
AUACGGAGGGUGCAAGCGUUAAUCGGAAUUACUGGGCGUAAAGCGUACGUAGGCGGUUCGUUAAGUUAGAUGUGAAAGCCCCGGGCUUAACCUGGGAACUGCAUUUAAAACUGGCGAACUAGAGUUGAGUAGAGGGGAGUGGAAUUUCAGGUGUAGCGGUGAAAUGCGUAGAGAUCUGAAGGAACACCAGUGGCGAAGGCGACUCCCUGGACUCGAACUGACGCUGAGGUACGAAAGCGUGGGUAGCAAACGGGAUUAGAAACCCCUGUAGUCC